rnacentral:rRNA from 1 species
CACGUAGGGGGCAAGCGUUGUCCGGAUUUAUUGGGCGUAAAGAGCUCGUAGGCGGCUUAGUAAGUCGGGUGUGAAACCUCCAGGCUCAACCUGGAGACGCCACCCGAUACUGCUGUGGCUAGAGUCCGGUAGGGGAGCGUGGAAUUCCUGGUGUGAGCGGUGAAAUGCGCAGAUAUCAGGAGGAACACCGGUGGCGAAGGCGGGUCUCUGGGCCGUAACUGACGCUGAGGAGCGAAAGCGUGGGGAGCGAACAGG